rnacentral:rRNA from 1 species
UACGUAGGGUGCAAGCGUUGUCCGGAAUUAUUGGGCGUAAAGAGCUCGUAGGCGGUUUGUCGCGUCUGCUGUGAAAACCCAGGGCUCAACCCUGGGCCUGCAUUCGAUACGGGCAGACUAGAGUUCGGUAGGGGAGACUGGAAUUCCUGGUGUAGCGGUGAAAUGCGCAGAUAUCAGGAGGAACACCGGUGGCGAAGGCGGGUCUCUGGGCCGAAACUGACGCUGAGGAGCGAAAGCGUGGGGAGCAAACAGG